rnacentral:lncRNA from 10 species
GCUUCAGCGGGUGCCGCCCGCCUAGAGGGAGUGGAGCGAGAGCCUACGACUAGAUUUGCAUCUUUACGUCCUGCGCGGAGGCUGCUACACACAUGCAGAAGUCAUGCUGGUGGCCUGGACAUUGAAGGGAGAGAAGUGGAUUUGGGAGACAUUUAGGAGGAACAGUAAGAGGACCUUGUGCAUGAAUAAUUUGUUUCCACACUACAGAGUGGGUAAUAAGCAGAUUAGUAAAAACAAUUCUGCUUCACUUCAA